AGGAUGAACGCUGGCGGCGUGCCUAACACAUGCAAGUCGAACGUCCUUCUUCUUCGGAAGAAGGGAGUGGCGGACGGGUGAGUACCACGUGGGUUAUCUACCGUGAGGUGAGGAAUACCGGCGAGAAAUCGCCGACAAGACCGCAUAGGCUCGAUGCAAGUCGAGCAAAGCUCGCUCGCAAGAGGGAGCGCCACACGAGGAGCCUGCGCCCGAUUAGCUGGCUGGUGGAGUAAUGGUUCACCAGGGCGACGAUCGGUAGCUGGUCUGAGAGGACGAUCAGCCACACUGGGAUUGAGAACGGCCCAGACUCCUACGGGGGGCAGCAGUGAGGAAUUUUCGUCAAUGGGGCAACCCUGAACGAGCAACGCGCGUGCAGGAAGAAGGUUUCGGAUCGUAAACUGCUUUUCUCGGGGAAGAGAACGGACGGUACCCGAGGAAGAAGCCCCGGCUAACUACGUGCCAGCAGCCGCGGUAA
rnacentral:rRNA from 1 species